UGAGGAAUAUUGGUCAAUGGGCGAGAGCCUGAACCAGCCAAGUAGCGUGCAGGAUGACGGCCCUAUGGGUUGUAAACUGCUUUUAUGUGGGGAUAAAGUGCGUGACGUGUCAUGCAUUGCAGGUACCACAUGAAUAAGGACCGGCUAAUUCCGUGCCAGCAGCCGCGGUAAUACGGAAGGUCCGGGCGUUAUCCGGAUUUAUUGGGUUUAAAGGGAGCGUAGGCUGUCUAUUAGGCGUGUUGUGAAAUUUACCGGCUCAACCGGUGGCUUGCAGCGCGAACUGGUCGACUUGAGUAUGCAGGAAGUAGGCGGAAUUCAUGGUGUAGCGGUGAAAUGCUUAGAUAUCAUGACGAACUCCGAUUGCGCAGGCAGCUUACUGUAGCAUAACUGACGCUGAUGCUCGAAAGUGCGGGUAUCAAACAGG
rnacentral:rRNA from 1 species